rnacentral:misc_RNA from 1 species
AAACCUUUUGUUUAACAACAUUUUAUAUUUUUCAUUUUAAUGCAACCACCUCAUUAAAUAGAAAUUAAUCGAUCACAUUAUUCAGUAUCUCAAUAUGAUAGGUAUUAGGUAAUCAUGAUAGAUGCGUAUUUCAUUUCUUUACUUUCUCAUCUCAAAUCAUACGUGUAGUUACAUGAAGUUAUUAGGAAUAAACGAUUGUACAUAUUUAUCAAUUUCUAUCAACAGCUGAUUAACAUACACGAUGCUCAAUUAUUAAUUAUUCCGAACUCGUUGCUUAUAAUACUUGAACAUAGCUGAUUUAGAUGAAAUAUACAAGACGACGAUCAUCAAUGGACGUCUCACGGUCUGUCAAACGCAUAAAUUCGAUAAUAAUUUUCCGAUCGAGCUAGAAUGGCUCAAAACAUGGUGGAGACGUUCGCACGAGGAUUAAUAGACCAGAUUGUAUUGGAAGCUUUCGAUCAAAUUAAAGUUCAAUCCAAGAAAGAAGUGUCAUACACUCAUAUGCAACACAGUGACACAUAUAUAGAUUACAAAGGAAGGGAAGACAAAGAAUUGAUAGAAAAUAUAAUUCAUGAUCUACGAGGUGUUCAAAUUGGUGACACAUCUUAUUUGUUAUCAUCAUCUAUGUCAGUUUUAGAACAACGUCAGUCGAGACGUGCUGCGUGUUUCAUCGAUAACGCGUCCAUCGAAAACGCAUCGAUCAGCGUCGUUGAGAUGUCUGACAUUCAAGGUCAAGGUGACGUCGAACCAAUAACAAUUGAUUCCGAAUCAUCGAAAAAGAAACGAGCUAAAUCAACGACCUGUGUUAAAGAAACAGAUCAACUUGGUGUUAACGAUGCCACAAAAGUAUCCACCAAUCUAUUGCAUCGAAUGAUCGAUGAAUUAGAGACCGUAACCGAGGAAACUAUAACAAAUCCUAACGACCCUGACAUAUACGACGAAAAAUCCAAAGAAGACAUUGCUCUUUGGGAAGAAAAAGAAGAAAAAUUGAUUCGAAUAAUUGAAGAUACCGUAGGAUCGCACGAUAGUAUUACCGAGGAAUCUCGAUCGAUUAGACAAUUCAACGUGGACGAUGAUAGGGAAGAAUUAAAAUCGUCUAUGAUGAUGUCGGGUGCUUCUUCCUCGAGGAAUCUUUCAUUCGACGAAGUUUAUAUAGAAGAAAAUACGUCAGAUUAUCAACAAACUCAGCAACGUGUUUCAAUCGACGAUGAAAUUGAAGAAACUCGUGAUUUUUUCGUUGAAACUAAAGAUACUGACGAGAAAACUAAUUCGAAAAAAAAGAAAAAGAAGAAGAAUAAGGAAAGUUUAGGUCAAAGACUGAAAAGAUUUUUCCUCAAGAGAUUCAAACGUGGAAAGAAUUGAUGAAAUUACUUUCCUUAUUUUUUUGGGGGGGAACAAAAAUGCAACACUUUCGGUUGCAUUCCUUUAUUAUUUUUUUUUUACGUACACAUAAACACACACACACACAGAGGCAUAUAUACAUUUAUCUAUGCUGAUAGUAUUAUUUUGUAAUGAAGCGACGCUCAGUACGUUCCAACACAGUGUCGAUCGGUUGUGUCGAGCAAGUAAAAAUAACCGAGCAGUUUGAUCAUUGCAUAGUCCUGCGACAGAAUUACUUUUCGAGGGAGGAGAUGACAAGGCGUCGCGUUAAAAAAGAAACUCCCCCACCUCUUAAAAAUAUAGAAAUUCAAAAGUAUCCAAACGAUUUCUAGAGAUUCUUUAUUAUUCUUAUUAUAUAUAUACAUAUUUUUUUUUAAAUACCUACAACAAUCUCACUUGUCUUUUUUUUUUGUACGAACAUUGUAUCGUCAUUUUCUAUGAUCGUUUUUCUAAUACACCCACGCACCCACACACACACACAAAUCUUUCCCAUGAGCAUGUAAAUAAAAUAAAUUUGUACAACAAUCAUAGAACGCCUGAUGUUCUUCUAAUGGCUACAGAUCUGGCAACCCUGACAGAACGUCGAGAAUACCGCUGUUGAAAACCAUUUAUCGUAGUAGGAAGAACAUUCGUGGCACAGGGUUCCUCCUCGAACUGUUUUUGGACCGCAACGUUGCCGAUGACUCUCUUCUUCGUCAAGAUGACUUAGUUUCAGCAUGAUCUUUCUCGUGUAUCCCGAUCGUAGCGACAUCUGCAGAAAUAAAAUGAAUAAAUUUGGUAACACCCGGUACCACUUCUGUUUCUACCUUCGUCUGAUCAGCAUCAUCCCAUAGAAGCACCAGACCAAUCUACAAUGG